rnacentral:rRNA from 1 species
AGUGAACGCUGGCGGUAGGCCUAACACAUGCAAGUCGAACGGCAGCACAGUAAGAGCUUGCUCUUACGGGUGGCGAGUGGCGGACGGGUGAGGAAUACAUCGGAAUCUACUUUUUCGUGGGGGAUAACGUAGGGAAACUUACGCUAAUACCGCAUACGACCUACGGGUGAAAGCAGGGGAUCUUCGGACCUUGCGCGAUUGAAUGAGCCGAUGUCGGAUUAGCUAGUUGGCGGGGUAAAGGCCCACCAAGGCGACGAUCCGUAGCUGGUCUGAGAGGAUAAUCAGCCACACUGGAACUGAGACACGGUCCAGACUCCUACGGGAGGCAGCAGUGGGGAAUAUUGGACAAUGGGCGCAAGCCUGAUCCAGCCAUACCGCGUGGGUGAAGAAGGCCUUCGGGUUGUAAAGCCCUUUUGUUGGGAAAGAAAAGCAGCAGGUUAAUACCCCGCUGUUCCGACGGUACCCAAAGAAUAAGCACCGGCUAACUUCGUG